GUCUCUCUCUAGUUUGGUUUUUAAACUAAAUCUUGUAUUUUACUAGCAAAUUUUGAUCCUUCUAUUACGUAAAAAUAGCAAAUUAUAUAGAAAUAAUUUCGGAACAAAUUUGUGUGAAAUACAUUCCAAUCUGCAAGAACAAGACUCCUUUAGUUGUGGGUUCUGGCCCCAAAUGGGAUGCCGAAAGUAAUGACAGCCCUUGUUUGAUGGUGUUGAAUACAGAAUUUUCUCCGACGCUAUAAAGCUGAUGAAAAUAAAGUUAAAGCAGUUUUAUCGAAGAAAACUCAUUCAGCUGCAAAAGCUGUUAAUAUGAGCAAGAUAGUGAUUUAUGGAUUGAAAAUAAUGACCUAAUUCUGAUUAAGCUUUCAAACAAGAAAGUUUGAAUCCACGUGUUACUGGAAAAGCGAAAACAUAGUACAAGUGUAUUUCGUAUAGAUCCGACUAGUAGAUUUUCCAUAAAAGGAAUCAGAGGGAAGUUUGAAGUAACAUAAAUUGUGCUGUUCAGUAUAUGCGGAGACAACAUUCUAAAAGAGCAAGAUCAUCGAAUGAAGCAAACACGGAAGAAAAUAUGUCUGUGUCUGUUUAAUCCAAGUGCAUCGUUUGGCCAAGCUCAGAGUACUUACUCCAUUUUUGCGGUCAGGGCUCAAAAUCCCAAGGAAUAUGCUGAGCUUUCUGUUUGAAGGAGAAAGCUUAAAUCUCGAUUCCAAUGAAGGUCUGUCGAAUCUGUGGGGAUAACACACUUUUAUUCUAAAUAGAGUCAGACCGCUUCACGCUGUUUUGAGGCCAAUGAUGGCUCAUCGAUUUCAAU